rnacentral:lncRNA from 1 species
ACACCAAAGUUCAUCUUCCUGCCUGUAUACUAUAUACUGUUUCUAGAAUCCCCUUAACUCUCAAACUCUAUGACUCAGAGCAACUUGAACGUUUUUCACCUGCAGUAAACAGAAAGCUUUUCCUUCACAUAAAAUAACGUAAAUAGUGAUAAAUGCUGUGAAUACAACCAAAGCCAAUUGUGGGGGUACUGGGUUAGAGAUGCUGUUCAAACCUCAUCCCAUUCAGACCCUCUGACUAUUGAUAGGAGAGGGAAAGUGGAAGAGAGAGGUUUUGCCUGAUCUUUGAGGCAUACACCUGUGUGGAGAGAGGGGGCAGAAAUACCUGGUUUUCUGUUAAGAGGUAGGGCCAUGGGAGGAAGCUGCUGCCCACUCCCCAAACUGUGCAAGUCCUCCUGAUUCAGGGCAGUUCUACAGGCUCUUUUCUCUGCUUAUCUGGAACUCUCUGCUCCUUGUGAACAUCCACCAUCACCUUUGCCUAGAAAUUCCUAUUCACCCUUUGGAUCCACAGUUUAAGUGUCACUUCCUCCAAGAAGCCACCUCUGGUUCUCCACCACUCCCACCCCUACCCUAAAACAAAAUAUUUUCACAUCUUCUUUUGUUGUGUUUAUGGUAGUUUGUAAUUAAAUAAUAAUUUUGAGUAAUUGUUUAGCGCCUACCUCCCCUUUGUCAGCUCCAUCAGGGCAGGAACCAGAUCUUUCUGAUCUACCUCCAUAUCCCCAUCGCCUAACACAGUGCCAAACACAUAGAAGGGCCUCAGCAUUUUAUUUGCCUGGGUGUAAGUGUUACAAUGAAGCGACCAAACUUAACCCUUCCAUUUUUUCUUUCUUUCUCAGGAAACAGAGGAAAGGGAACCUCUGCCACUCCAGUGCAGCCUGACAUUCCUGAGAUGCCUCAAGACACAACUAAACAUAUGGAAACAAAGGAAAGGGAACCUCUGCCACUCCAGUGCAGCCUGACAUUCCUGAGAUGCCUCAAGGCACAACUGAACAUAUGGUAUGCACCUGGGUAUGUGGAGCUUGAGGAAGAGCUUCACUCAUCUUUGACCUUCUAUUCUCUGAUGCUGGGUGGGAUCCUCCUUUCUGGUUUUUCUGUUGUUGUUGUGGACGAAAAUAAUCCAUAACCAAUCUAUAAAUGAAAAUUUGGGUGAGUUUAUUCUGAGCUUAAAUUUUAGGAUUAUAACCCGGGAGAGUCUUUCCACAAAGGAACAGAGCACUCCAAAGAAGUGGGGGUACAUAGGGCGGUUAUAUACCCUCAAAGAGGGUGUUUCACAUAUGAUUGAAAUGUCCCUCCCACAAUAGUCACAAGAUUGCCCUGUCCGCACAGCACUUGAUGGACUCAGCAGGUAGUGGGUCUGCUAUCUUCGUGGGUGUAGCAGGAGGCAAGUCUAUUGCCUCAAGCUGGGCGGUCACAGGUGAGCGCAGCAAUCAGUUUCUAGCCUAAGGAAAGAAGCUUAAUCCUUAAGGAGACGCCAGUGUUGGGAGGGGGAGGGAAGUUGCACCUUUAUCUCAAGGGCCUUUUGCUCUUGCCAUAGGGAAUCUCUAAAGCAGAUAUACAAUGCAUGCUCAACAGCCUGGGUCAGGCCCUUUUGGAAAGACAAGGUCAGGCCGAAUUAGGUUUACACCAAAAUGGCUUCCUCAUAUAUUCCAAUAUAUCCUAUUACUUGCCGUUUUUAUUUGAC